rnacentral:rRNA from 1 species
AUUGAACGCUGGCGGAAUGCUUUACACAUGCAAGUCGAACGGCAGCACGGACUUCGGUCUGGUGGCGAGUGGCGAACGGGUGAGUAAUGUAUCGGAACGUGCCCAGUCGUGGGGGAUAACGUAGUGAAAAUUACGCUAAUACCGCAUACGAUCUAUGGAUGUAAGCGGGGGAUCGCAAGACCUCGCGCGAUUGGAGCGGCCGAUAUCAGAUUAGGUAGUUGGUGGGGUAAAGGCCCACCAAGCCAACGAUCUGUAGCUGGUCUGAGAGGACGGUCAUCCACACUGGAACGGCGACACCGUCCCGACCCCUACGGGCAGCAGCAGUGGGGAAUUUUCGAGAAGGGGCGAACGCCUGAUCCAGCAGUUCCGCGUGCAGGAGGAAGGCCCUCGGGUUGUAAACUGCUUUUGUACAGAACGAAAAGGUUUCGACUCAUACUUGGAGCUCAUGACGGUACUGUAAGAAUAAGCACCGGCUAACUCCGUGCCAGCCGCCGCGGUAA